rnacentral:rRNA from 1 species
UUAAUUUGAGAGUUUGAUCCUGGCUCAGGACGAACGCUGGCGGCGUGCCUAAUACAUGCAAGUCG